rnacentral:rRNA from 1 species
GAUGAACGCUGGCGGCGUGCCUAAUACAUGCAAGUCGAGCGAACAGACGAGGAGCUUGCUCCUCGGACGUUAGCGGCGGACGGGUGAGUAACACGUGGAUAACCUACCUAUAAGACUGGGAUAACUUCGGGAAACGGGAGCUAAUACCGGAUAAUAUAUUGAACCGCAUGGUUCAAUAGUGAAAGACGGUUUUGCUGUCACUUAUAGAUGGAUCCGCGCCGCAUUAGCUAGUUGGUAAGGUAACGGCUUACCAAGGCGACGAUGCGUAGCCGACCGGAGAGGCUGAUAGGCGACCUUGGAAGUGAACCACGGUCCAGACUACUACGGUAGGCAGCAGUAGGGAAUCUUCCGCAAUGGGCGAAAGCAUGACGGAGCAACGCCGCGUGAGUGAUGAAGGUCUUCGGAUCGUAAUACUCUGUUAUUAGGGAAGAACAAAUGUGUAAGUAACUAUGCACGUCUUGACGGUACCUAGUCAGAAAGCCACGGCUAACUACGUG